ACUAUCAUUAACUGAAUCCAUAGGUUAAUGAGGCGAACCGGGGGAACUGAAACAUCUAAGUACCCCGAGGAAAAGAAAUCAACCGAGAUUCCCCCAGUAGCGGCGAGCGAACGGGGAGCAGCCCAGAGCCUGAAUCAGUGUGUGUGUUAGUGGAAGCGUCUGGAAAGGCGUGCGAUACAGGGUGACAGCCCCGUACACAAAAAUGCACAUACUGUGAGCUCGAUGAGUAGGGCGGGACACGUGGUAUCCUGUCUGAAUAUGGGGGGACCAUCCUCCAAGGCUAAAUACUCCUGACUGACCGAUAGUGAACCAGUACCGUGAGGGAAAGGCGAAAAGAACCCCGGCGAGGGGAGUGAAAAAGAACCUGAAACCGUGUACGUACAAGCAGUGGGAGCACGCUUAGGCGUGUGACUGCGUACCUUUUGUAUAAUGGGUCAGCGACUUAUAUUCUGUAGCAAGGUUAACCGAAUAGGGGAGCCGAAGGGAAACCGAGUCUUAACUGGGCGUUAAGUUGCAGGGUAUAGACCCGAAACCCGGUGAUCUAGCCAUGGGCAGGUUGAAGGUUGGGUAACACUAACUGGAGGACCGAACCGACUAAUGUUGAAAAAUUAGCGGAUGACUUGUGGCUGGGGGUGAAAGGCCAAUCAAACCGGGAGAUAGCUGGUUCUCCCCGAAAGCUAUUUAGGUAGCGCCUCGUGAAUUCAUCUCCGGGGGUAGAGCACUGUUUCGGCAAGGGGGUCAUCCCGACUUACCAACCCGAUGCAAACUGCGAAUACCGGAGAAUGUUAUUACGGGAGACACACGGCGGGUGCUAACGUCCGUCGUGAAGAGGGAAACAACCCAGACCGCCAGCUAAGGUCCCAAAGUCAUGGUUAAGUGGGAAACGAUGUGGGAAGGCCCAGACAGCCAGGAUGUUGGCUUAGAAGCAGCCAUCAUUUAAAGAAAGCGUAAUAGCUCACUGGUCGAGUCGGCCUGCGCGGAAGAUGUAACGGGGCUAAACCAUGCACCGAAGCUGCGGCAGCGACGCUUAUGCGUUGUUGGGUAGGGGAGCGUUCUGUAAGCCUGUGAAGGUGUGCUGUGAGGUAUGCUGGAGGUAUCAGAAGUGCGAAUGCUGACAUAAGUAACGAUAAAGCGGGUGAAAAGCCCGCUCGCCGGAAGACCAAGGGUUCCUGUCCAACGUUAAUCGGGGCAGGGUGAGUCGACCCCUAAGGCGAGGCCGAAAGGCGUAGUCGAUGGGAAACAGGUUAAUAUUCCUGUACUUGGUGUUACUGCGAAGGGGGGACGGAGAAGGCUAUGUUGGCCGGGCGACGGUUGUCCCGGUUUAAGCGUGUAGGCUGGUUUUCCAGGCAAAUCCGGAAAAUCAAGGCCGAGGCGUGAUGACGAGGCACUACGGUGCUGAAGCAACAAAUGCCCUGCUUCCAGGAAAAGCCUCUAAGCAUCAGGUAACAUCAAAUCGUACCCCAAACCGACACAGGUGGUCAGGUAGAGAAUACCAAGGCGCUUGAGAGAACUCGGGUGAAGGAACUAGGCAAAAUGGUGCCGUAACUUCGGGAGAAGGCACGCUGAUACGUAGGUGAAGCGACUUGCUCGUGGAGCUGAAAUCAGUCGAAGAUACCAGCUGGCUGCAACUGUUUAUUAAAAACACAGCACUGUGCAAACACGAAAGUGGACGUAUACGGUGUGACGCCUGCCCGGUGCCGGAAGGUUAAUUGAUGGGGUUAGCGCAAGCGAAGCUCUUGAUCGAAGCCCCGGUAAACGGCGGCCGUAACUAUAACGGUCCUAAGGUAGCGAAAUUCCUUGUCGGGUAAGUUCCGACCUGCACGAAUGGCGUAAUGAUGGCCAGGCUGUCUCCACCCGAGACUCAGUGAAAUUGAACUCGCUGUGAAGAUGCAGUGUACCCGCGGCAAGACGGAAAGACCCCGUGAACCUUUACUAUAGCUUGACACUGAACAUUGAGCCUUGAUGUGUAGGAUAGGUGGGAGGCUUUGAAGUGUGGACGCCAGUCUGCAUGGAGCCGACCUUGAAAUACCACCCUUUAAUGUUUGAUGUUCUAACGUGGACCCGUGAUCCGGGUUGCGGACAGUGUCUGGUGGGUAGUUUGACUGGGGCGGUCUCCUCCUAAAGAGUAACGGAGGAGCACGAAGGUUGGCUAAUCCUGGUCGGACAUCAGGAGGUUAGUGCAAUGGCAUAAGCCAGCUUGACUGCGAGCGUGACGGCGCGAGCAGGUGCGAAAGCAGGUCAUAGUGAUCCGGUGGUUCUGAAUGGAAGGGCCAUCGCUCAACGGAUAAAAGGUACUCCGGGGAUAACAGGCUGAUACCGCCCAAGAGUUCAUAUCGACGGCGGUGUUUGGCACCUCGAUGUCGGCUCAUCACAUCCUGGGGCUGAAGUAGGUCCCAAGGGUAUGGCUGUUCGCCAUUUAAAGUGGUACGCGAGCUGGGUUUAGAACGUCGUGAGACAGUUCGGUCCCUAUCUGCCGUGGGCGCUGGAGAACUGAGGGGGGCUGCUCCUAGUACGAGAGGACCGGAGUGGACGCAUCACUGGUGUUCGGGUUGUCAUGCCAAUGGCACUGCCCGGUAGCUAAAUGCGGAAGAGAUAAGUGCUGAAAGCAUCUAAGCACGAAACUUGCCCCGAGAUGAGUUCUCCCUGACCCUUUAAGGGUCCUGAAGGAACGUUGAAGACGACGACGUUGAUAGGCCGGGUGUGUAAGCGCAGCGAUGCGUUGAGCUAACCGGUACUAAUGAACCGUGAGGCUUAACCUUACAACGCCGAAG
rnacentral:rRNA from 1 species